CGCCUUGCGCUUGGGGCAAUGACGCAUCUAGUGAGGUUAUACCGAGGCGCGUCAAUUGCUGGUUGAAAACUAUUUCCAAACCCCCUCUUUGGCCUUCAUGGGUCACUGAGAAUUAUUGGAAGGGUUCCCUCCUAGUGAGGGUAAAACC
rfam:Triticum aestivum genome assembly, contig: Triticum_aestivum_CS42_TGACv1_scaffold_435173_5DL